AGGGGGGGCAAGCGUUGUUCGGAAUUACUGGGCGUAAAGGGUUCGUAGGUGGCCACUUAAGUCAGACGUGAAAUCCCUCAGCUUAACUGGGGAACUGCGUCUGAUACUGGAUGGCUUGAGUGCAGGAGAGGAAUGCGGAAUUCCAGGUGUAGCGGUGAAAUGCGUAGAUAUCUGGAGGAACACCGGUGGCGAAGGCGGCAUUCUGGACUGUAACUGACACUGAGGAACGAAAGCCAGGGGAGCAAACGGGAUUAGAUACCCCGGUAGUCCUGGCCCUAAACGAUGAAUGCUUGGUGUGGCGGGUAUCGAUCCCUGCCGUGCCGAAGUUAACGCGAUAAGCAUUCCGCCUGGGGAGUACGGUCGCAAGGCUG
rnacentral:rRNA from 1 species